rnacentral:rRNA from 1 species
AGAGUUUGAUCCUGGCUCAGAACGUACGCUGGCGGCACGCCUAACACAUGCAAGUCGAACGAAGUAGCAAUACUUAGUGGCAGACGGGUGAGUAACAUGUGGGUAUCUGCCCUUUGGCCUGGAAUAACACGAGGAAACUUGUGCUAAUACCGGAUAAGCCUUUACGGAGAAAGCUUUAUGCACCAUUGGAUGAGCCUGCACUUGAUUAGUUUGUUGGUGGGGUAAUGGCCUACCAAGACUUUGAUCAAUAGCUGAUUUGAGAGGAUGAUCAGCCACAUUGGGACUGAGACACGGCCCAAACUCCUACGGGAGGCAGCAGUGGGGAAUCUUGCACAAUGGAGGAAACUCUGAUGCAGCGAUGCCGCGUGAGUGAAGAAGGCCUUUGGGUUGUAAAGCUCUUUCGUCGGGGAAGAAAAUGACUGUACCCGAAUAAGAAGGUCCGGCUAACUUCGUGCCAGCAGCCGCGGUAAUACGAAGGGACCUAGCGUAGUUCGGAAUUACUGGGCUUAAAGAGUUCGUAGGUGGUUGAAAAAGUUGGUGGUGAAAUCCCAGAGCUUAACUCUGGAACUGCCAUCAAAACUUUUCAGCUAGAGUUUGAUAGAGGAAAGCAGAAUUUCUAGUGUAGAGGUGAAAUUCGUAGAUAUUAGAAAGAAUACCAAUUGCGAAGGCAGCUUUCUGGAUCAUUACUGACACUGAGGAACGAAAGCAUGGGUAGCGAAGAGGAUUAGAUACCCUCGUAGUCCAUGCCGUAAACGAUGUGUGUUAGACGUUGGAAAUUUAUUUUCAGUGUCGCAGCGAAAGCGAUAAACACACCGCCUGGGGAGUACGACCGCAAGGUUAAAACUCAAAUGAAUUGACGGGGACCCGCACAAGUAGUGGAGCAUGUGGUUUAAUUCGAAGAUACGCGCAGAACCUUACCAACACUUGACAUGUUCGUCGCGACUUUAAGAGAUUAAAGUUUUCGGUUCGGCCGGACGAAACACAGGUGCUGCAUGGCUGUCGUCAGCUCGUGUCGUGAGAUGUUGGGUUAAGUCCCGCAACGAGCGCAACCCUCACUUUUAGUUGCCAUCAUUUAGUUGGGCACUCUGAAAGAACUGCCAGUGAUAAGCUGGAGGAAGGUGGGGAUGACGUCAAGUCCUCAUGGCCCUUACGUGUUGGGCUACACACGUGCUACAAUGGUAUCUACAACAGGAAGCAAAACGGCGACGUUAAGCAAAUCCUCAAAAGAUACCUCAGUUCGGAUUGCACUCUGCAACUCGAGUGCAUGAAGCUGGAAUUACUAGUAAUCGUGGAUCAGCGUGCCACGGUGAAUGCGUUCCCGGGUCUUGUACACACCGCCCGU